AAUCAACGCUGGCGGCGUGCCUAACACAUGCAAGUCGAACGCGAAAGCCCCUUCGGGGGGUAAGUAGAGUGGCGUCCGGGUGAGUAACACGUAGGUAAUCUACCUCUGGGUGGGGAAUAACUCGCCGAAAGGCGAGCUAAUACCGCAUAAUGCAGCGGCACCUAAUGGUGAAUGGUUGUUAAAGCGGGGGACCUUCGGGCCUCGCGCCUAGAGAGGAGCCUGCGGCAGAUUAGCUAGNGGUGAGGUAAUGGCUCACCAAGGCUUCGAUCUGUAGCUGGUCUGAGAGGACGGCCAGCCACACUGGCACUGACACACGGGCCAGACUCCUACGGGAGGCAGCAGUGGGGAAUUUUGGGCAAUGGGCGCAAGCCUGACCCAGCAACGCCGCGU
rnacentral:rRNA from 1 species